CAUGAAGUUUCGUGCCGUUCCGACCUCGUUUGAUACGGUUAUGGUUAACCACACGGCCCCUCGGGCCCGACCCGAGCCCAGUCAACGUUUUGACCCGAUCAAAUCGGCCCGUGACCCGAAACGACCCUACUUGGGCCCUACAACAGCCACGUAAAGUUUCGGGAUGAUCCGACGUUCUUUCAUGGGGUUACGGACAAUCCACGCCAAACAAGCGUCACGGGCCGACCGAGCCGGGCCAACGGGCCCUCGGGACCCGAAAACUGAAUUUUUUUUCAUCCAAACCCAUUAAAACACGUUACCGAGGUCUCACGCAAAAUUUCAUGCCAAUCCGACGUCGUUUGAUGGGGUUUUGAGAUAUUAUGAUUCCUCAAAAAUUUAAUGUCUGUUCCUGUCACUUAGCUUUUUGUGCAAAAUGUAUAUAUAGGGGAGGGGUGGGUGUUGAGCAGCCCAUGCCCGGGCAAGGCAUGCCAGCGCCCAAGCCAAAGGAGGCUGGUGGCGUGCGUAUAACAGCUCAAAUGCCCCAACGAUGACCGAGAACAAGCGCCCAUCUCCCCUCCUUCCCCCCCACCAAGCGCCCCUCCCCCCCCAUGUUGCCUGCCCACUCGCACAGCUACUCGUGAUUUCAUGCCCAGCGACUAGUGAAUGUGCCUCGACGACCAGCAAACCUCGAAAAUUAUGAUUCCUCGUAAAAUUAAUGUCUGUUCCUGUCACUUUACUUUUUGUGCAAAAUGUAUAUAUAGGGGAGACCAGGGGCUUGAGCAACCCCUGUGCCCAAGCAAGGGUCAGAUGGAAGCACACGAGACGCGAGGUUUAAAGCCUAUACAAGCAAGGCGUCUGUCUCCCCAAGCCCCAUUGCCUAUAAAACAAGCCCGAUGCCUUGUAAAUGCCCCACACGAUGCCUAUAAACGACAACGAUGUUUGCUAGUUAAUCGAUCGACGCCCCACACCUUGCAGCAUGUUGCCUAGUAAACAAGCCAUGCUGCCUUGGAAGCGCCCCACAUCAUGGCAUGUUGCCUAGCACGCUGCCCUUGUUUCCAGCACGGCGACCUGAAAGCGUGGCCUGACGACGUGCUUGCCUUCGAAAAUUAUGAUUCCUCAAAAAAUUAAUGUCUGUUCCUGUCACUUUACUUUUUGU
rnacentral:rRNA from 1 species